GGCAGGAGGAUCACUUGAGGUUAGGAGUUUGAGACCAGCCUGGCCAACAUAGUGAAACACUGUCUCUACUAAAAAUACAAAAGUUAGCUGGGUGCAGUGGCACAUGCCUGUAAUCUCAGCUACUCAGGAAGCUAAGGCAGAAGAAUCCCUUGAACCCAAGAGGUGAAGGUUGCAGUGAGCCGAGAUCACACCACUGCACUCCAGCUUGAGUAACAGAACGAGAUUCUGUCUCAAAACAAAAAACAAAACAAACAAACAAAAAACAAAAAACAAAACCAACCAACAAACAAAAAACCCAGGUUGAUAGAAGAUGGUAGAUAGAUGCCAGGCAGGGAGCAGGGAAUCCUGGCAGGCUGGGGCUAGGAUGCCAGCAAGCUGAGGCGAGUGGCUUGGAGACCCUGUCCACAUAGAGAUGGAUGCCACUGCAGGUUGGCAGGGGUCUGAUGGGACCUCCCUUGCGCCCUGUGCCCCAGUCGGCCAGCCAGGCCCUGUUUGCCACACAUUUCCCAGGGCUGGAUUCUGGUCCCACCUUUCCUUGCCUUGUCAUAUGGUCCCCACUCAAGUCCCAUCUGGGUUCUGGCCAUAAUCCCAAAAGACACAAUCCCAAACACUAUAAUUCCAAAUGUUAAAAUCCUAACAGAGUAAAAUCUCUAAAAUCUAAAAUUCACAAAAUCACAAUCCUAAAAGAUCAAAAAUCCUGGAAAUAUAAAUCUGGAAGAAAAUAAUUUUUCAAAGUCAUUUUAAAAAAUUAUUUACAUUUUUAACAGGAGAUUUACAUGAGAAACAUUAAAACAUGACAGAACACUUCAUAGGCCAUUUUACACAAGGAAACAGGCAAAAAUGACAUACAUAUAUUUCCAAGUAUAAAUAGGUACACUAACAACAAUCAGGAGGGUAUGACAGUUAUGAGCAGACAAAAAGUGAAAUGUAUAAGCACACAGCACUGUGGCUAGAAAUUAACCACAGCUGGUAAUUGUGUGCACCCAGCUUUAUAACUGUGGUCAUCUGAAAUACCCCGAUGGACAACCUAAGUCUUUGACAAGAUCAAUCAAAAACCAUGAUGGGGCCAGGCGCGGUGGCUCACACCUGUAAUGCCAACACUUUGGGAGGCUGAGGCAGGCAGAUCAUCUGAGGUCAGGAGUUCGAGACCAGCCUGACCAAUAUGGUGAAACCCCGUCUCUACCAAAAUACAAAAAUUAGCUGGGCAUGGCGGCGGGCACCUGUAAUCUCAGCUUCUCGUGAGGCUGAGGCAGGAGAUUCGCUUGAACCCAGGAGGCAGAGGUUGUAGUGAGCAAGAUCACGUCAUUGCACUCCAGCCUGGGGGACAGAGUGAGACUCUGUCUCAAAAAAAUAAAAA
rnacentral:lncRNA from 1 species